UCUCCAGACAAGUGAUCCUGCAGGAAAUUCUUUUCCUUUCCAAGAUAUUCUUCAACAGCCAUGUUGUGACACUUGGCCUACAUGCAGCCAAGUUUCAGCCUCAUUUCAGCCAUUGUUUUCAAAUUUAUUCAUCAAUCCUAAUUAAUGACUGCAGCCUUCAUUUUCACCUCACCACACACCUUCAUUUUCACCUCACCACACAGACCACUUAUGCUUCAGCUUAUGCUCCAGCUUUCAGGCUUUGAGGAUCAGGAGGUUUAGCAUUGCUUUCCCGUGACAGGUUUACGAUUAAACUACAGGCUUUGCCUAUUCAGGUUGAUCGGUUGGUGCAGACGGGACUGAGCUGAGGCUAGGGUUCUACGAUGUCUUUUGCUUCCGCUAAUGACUAGCUUGUCACCUCGUUCUCCAUCCCCUAAAUUGAAACUUCUAUUAUGUGGUACAAUAUUAUCUUGUUGGGCUUAGACUCUUAACCCAUAUUUCUAUUAGUGAAGCUAUCAAUGAUUAUAAUCAGAGUCACGAAACUAAACCUAUGCGAUCCUGAGUUUGAAUAUUGUCAUUUGAUUGGCAUCUCUCAACGCCUUUCAUUUUAUCUUCUUUCAUCUUA